ACUAUUAACCACCUCACUGAGGUGAUCUGUAGUCCAGCUGGUCGCUUGAGGACAGAAUCUGGGAGGUGCCUGAAGUCUUCACAUUGGAUCCUCAUCACCUUGAAUGGUUUUGCUGGUUGUGCUUCAAGUAUCAUCUUUGAAACAUCAUCAGGUGUUUGAAGGACUGACACCUUGCGCCUCUUCUCGAUGGUGGCAAAAGAUCGAUCACAAGGAAGAAAAGAAUGACCAGAGUCCAUGAACUUCUGCACAACUUGGGUAAAGUAACCCAUAGAAACGAGCAUCCACAUCAGAUUGAGCAUCCGCCAGUUGUUAUUCUGCCCACAGCAUCUGUCACUGAAGAUGAUCAACUUGCGCACCUCUGGUUUGGAAAUUGUCCAAUUGUGUGAGAGGCAUCUAUGAGAAGCCUGACUUCACUCCAGACGGUGAAGAAAAUUCCUUGAACCUCACCUCAUACCUGGACUAUUGACUGAAUAAAGGAAAAUGUUUUCAAGUUUUUACAUUUAAGUGCUGCACUAAACCGAGAGUGAUCUCCAAUGCAGUUCGUCUUGUUUGUUCAAGUCAACCAGUGUUUGUCUCUGCCCACCUGACCACUCUGCCUGUCCCUGAGCCUGCCUGCCGUCCUGUAAAUUUGCUCCACCUCUGGAUUACUGACCUCUGCCUGACCUGACCCUGAGCCUGCCUGCCUGUCAUCCCGUACCUUGGCCUCUACUCUGGAUUAUCAACCCCUGCCUGCCUUGACCUGUCAUUUGCCUGCCCC
ensembl:lncRNA